AGAGUUUGAUCAUGGCUCAGAACGAACGCUGGCGGCGUGCCUAACACAUGCAAGUCGAGCGCGAAUGGGAGCAAUCCCUAGUAGAGCGGCGCACGGGUGCGUAACACGUGGGUAAUCUGCCUGGAAGACCGGGAUAACCUUCCGAAAGGAAAGCUAAUACCGGAUAAGACCUCGGGAGCUUCGGCUCCUGCGGGAAAAGGUGGCCUCUGUAUACAAGCUAUCACUUCCAGAUGAGCCCGCGGCCCAUCAGCUAGUUGGCGGGGUAAUGGCCCACCAAGGCAACGACGGGUAGCUGGUCUGAGAGGGCGAUCAGCCACACUGGAACUGAGACACGGUCCAGACUCCUACGGGAGGCAGCAGUGGGGAAUUUUGCACAAUGGGCGAAAGCCUGAUGCAGCAACGCCGCGUGUGUGAUGAAGGUCUUCGGAUUGUAAAGCACUUUCGACCGGGACGAAACCUGGAUGGCUAACAUCCAUCCACUUGACGGUACCGGGAGAAGAAGCACCGGCUAACUCUGUGCCAGCCGCCGCGGUAAUUC
rnacentral:rRNA from 1 species